GCGGACGUGGUUCACGGUGAACGGCUGCAUCCAAUUCGCGGUUGGUUAUAUGAGAAUGGAGCAGUUGGACGGGGUUCGAUUCCCCGCGUCCACA